rnacentral:rRNA from 1 species
AACGAACGCUGGCGGCAUGCCUAACACAUGCAAGUCGAACGAGACCUUCGGGUCUAGUGGCGCACGGGUGCGUAACGCGUGGGAACCUGCCCUUAGGUUCGGAAUAACUCCCCGAAAGGGGUGCUAAUACCGGAUAAUGUCUUCGGACCAAAGAUUUAUCGCCUUUGGAUGGGCCCGCGUUGGAUUAGCUGGUUGGUAGGGUAAAAGCCUACCAAGGCGACGAUCCAUAGCUGGUCUGAGAGGAUGAUCAGCCACACUGGGACAGAGACACGGCCCAGACUCCUACGGGAGGCAGCAGUGGGGAAUAUUGGAGAAUGGGCGAAAGCCUGAUCCACCACUGGCGCGUGAGUGAUGAAGGCCUUAGGGUUGUAAAUCUCGUUUACCCGGGAUGAUAAUGACAGUACCGGGAGAAUAAGCUCCGGCUAACUCCGUG